rnacentral:rRNA from 1 species
UACGGAGGGUGCGAGCGUUGUCCGGAAUCACUGGGCGUAAAGGGCGCGUAGGCGGCGCGGAUAGUCGGCAGUGAAAGCCCGGAGCUCAACUCCGGGUCGGCCGUCGAUACUUCCGGGCUUGAGCACUGUAGAGGCAGAUGGAAUUCCGGGUGUAGCGGUGGAAUGCGUAGAGAUCCGGAAGAACACCGGUGGCGAAGGCGGUCUGCUGGGCAGUUGCUGACGCUGAUGCGCGACAGCGUGGGGAGCAAACAGG